UACGUAGGGUGCAAGCGUUAAUCGGAAUUACUGGGCGUAAAGCGUGCGCAGGCGGUUGUGCAAGACAGAUGUGAAAUCCCCGGCUUAACCUGGGAACUGCAUUUGUGACUGCACGGCUAGAGUGUGUCAGAGGGGGGGGUAGAAUUCCAACGUGUAGCAGUGAAAUGCGUAGAUAUGUGGAGGAAUACCGAUGGCGAAGGCAGCCCCCUGGGAUAACACUGACGCUCAUG
rnacentral:rRNA from 1 species